CGGAACGGGUAGGAGGUAACGACGUGAGGGAACCUGCCUCAAAGAGGGGGACAACAGUUGGAAACGACUGCUAAUACCGCAUAAGCCCACGGCUCGGCAUCGAGCAGAGGGAAAAGGAGCAAUCCGCUUUGAGAUGGCCUCGCGUCCGAUUAGCUAGUUGGUGAGGUAACGGCCCACCAAGGCGACGAUCGGUAGCCGGACUGGGAGGUUGAACGGCCACAUUGGGACUGAGACACGGCCCAG
rnacentral:rRNA from 1 species